ACACGCAUGACACACUGCAUAUCAAUAAGCGGAGGAAAAGAAACUAACAAGGAUUCCCCUAGUAACGGGGAGUGAAGCGGGAAGAGCUCAAAUUUGAAAUCUUCAAGGUUUGACCUUGACGAAUUGUAGUUUAAAGAAGUGUUUUCGGUUAGAGGAGUAGUAAAAGUUCUUUGGAAUAGGACAUCAUAGAGGGUGAGAAUCCCGUAUUUGACUAUUCUUUCUAGCUUUGUGAUACACUUUCAAAGAGUCGGAUUGUUUGGGAAUGCAGUCCAAAAUGGGUGGUAAAUUUCAUCUAAAGCUAAAUAUUGGCGAGAGACCGAUAGCGAACAAGUACCGUGAGGGAAAGAUGAGAAGAACUUUGAAAAGAGAGUUAAACAGUACGUGAAAUUGUCAAAAGGGAAGCGUUUGACACCAGUGUUGUUUUUCCGAAAAUCAAUUACGAAUGUUUUGUUUUUGAGGAGUUAUGACUUCAUCGGCUUGCUCCUUUCUUUAUGAAACUUUCUUAAUGCACUUUUCGGUUAACAAGUCAACAUCAAUUUCUUUUGUUGUAAAAGGGUAUGAGGAAGGUGGCUUUCUUUUCGGAGAAAGUGUUUAUAGCCUUGUGCCUCUGCAAUCGGAGAGAUUGAGGUCUGCAGCGUAGAUCCUUCGGGGCUAGAUACAUUUGUGCUAAGUUAUAGCUUUUCAUAGACAACUUGUUGACUAUGUUUAGUCUUGUAGCUUACUCGCUAUGCCUAUUUUACCUACGCUUAGGAUGUUGAGCGCAUGUCUCUCUCU
rnacentral:rRNA from 1 species